rnacentral:tRNA from 1 species
UAAAAAGUAAGCUAAAUUUUAAGCUUUUGGGUUCAUACCCCAAAUAUAGAUAAAAUCUCUUUUUAA